CGUCUUUCUCUAGACAUUUAUAAUUUAUCUUUAUACAACACUGAAUUUAUAACACCGUCAAACGGCUAUGCGAGUUACUUAUGGAUAUAUUUUAUUACAAGUAUUUUCUAAAAAAAAUGUCGAGUUUUCAGAAUAUUGUUUUUUUUUUUAGAAUCAAACGAAAGACGACUACUUCCGUUGGAAAAUUAAAAGCACGUGAUGUUUGUAUGUUUACAUUUUUUAAUCGAAU